UGGCUCAGGAUGAACGCUGGCGGCGUGCCUGAUACAUGCAAGUCGAACGCACUAGUAAUAGUGAGUGGCGAACGGGUGAGUAACACGUAGGUAACUUACCUCUAAGACGAGGAUAACGACUGGAAACGGUCGCUAAAACUGGAUAGGAUCAUUUGAGGCAUCUCGGAUGAUUUAAAGGGGCAUUCAAGCCACACUUAGAGAAAGGCCUGCGGCGCAUUAGCUAGUUGGUGGUGUAGAGGACUACCAAGGCGAUGAUGCGUAGCCGGACUGAGAGGUCGAACGGCCACAUUGGGACUGAGACACGGCCCAAACUCCUACGGGAGGCAGCAGUAGGGAAUUUUCGGCAAUGGGGGAAACCCUGACCGAGCAACGCCGCGUGAAUGAAGAAGUAUUUCGGUAUGUAAAGUUCUUUUAUUGAGGAAGAAUGGGUUGGGAAGGAAAUGACCUGACCGUGACGGUACUCAAUGAAUAAGCCCCGGCUAACUAUGUGCCAGCAGCCGCGGUAAUACAUAGGGGGCAAGCGUUAUCCGGAAUUAUUGGGCGUAAAGGGUGCGUAGGCGGUCUGUUAAGUCUAAGGUGUAAGUGCAAGGCUCAACCUUGUGAUGCUUUAGAAACUGGUGGACUAGAGAUAGAUAGAGGCAAGUGGAAUUCCAUGUGUAGCGGUAAAAUGCGUAAAUAUAUGGAGGAACACCAGUGGCGAAGGCGGCUUGCUGGGUCUAUACUGACGCUGAGGCACGAAAGCGUGGGGAGCAAACAGGAUUAGAUACCCUGGUAGUCCACGCCGUAAAACGAUGAGUACUAAGUGUUGGGGGAACCCAGUGCUGUAGUUAACAUAUUAAGUACUCCGCCUGAGUAGUACGUACGCAAGUAUGAAACUCAAAGGAAUUGACGGGACCCCGCACAAGCGGUGGAUGAUGUUGUUUAAUUCGAAGAUACGCGAAAAACCUUACCAGGUCUUGACAUACUCUGCAAAGCUAUAGAGAUAUAGUGGAGGUUAACAGAGAUACAGGUGGUGCAUGGUUGUCGUCAGCUCGUGUCGUGAGAUGUUGGGUGNAGUCCCGCCACGCGCGCAACCCUUAUUGCUAGUUACCAUCAUUCAGUUGGGGACUCUAGCGAGACUGCCAGUGAUAAACUGGAGGAAGGUGGGGAUGACGUCAAAUCAUCAUGCCCCUUAUGACCUGGGCUACAAACGUCAUACAAUGGCUGAAACAAAGAGAAGCGAAGCAGUGAUGUGGAGCAAAACUCAUAAAAGCAGUCUCAGUUCAGAUUGUAGUCUGCAACUCGACUACAUGAAGUCGGAAUCGCUAGUAAUCGCAGAUCAGCAUGCUGCGGUGAAUACGUUCUCGGGGUUUGUACACACCGCCCGUCAAACCACGAAAGUUGAUAAUACCCAACGCCGGUGGCCUAACCGCAAGGAGGGAGCCGUCUAAGGUAGGAUCA
rnacentral:rRNA from 1 species